UGUCUAGAAAAGGAAAAUAGUUUCUUCCAUUCAAGAAGCCCCACUCCCUGCCCCCAUCAGCCAGGAAUUUUCUGGGCUUGGUCAAAGGUCCCUUAAGGGGGAGGAAGCUGCUUCUCCUGCUCUGGGGGGUGGAGCCGCUGAGGCACCUUCCUGGUCUGCUCCUGUUUUUCCUCAGUGAUCCCUUCUCAGGCACCCAGGCCCAUGAUUUCUUGCUCCCCACCGCCACUGCAAAGAAGACCCAGAAGGUAGGGAAGCAGAGUCAACACACAGCGUGAAGGAGCCAGGCUGGAGCAGUUCCUGGCUUGGGGACACUCGAAGGCCUCCUCUUCCAGAAGCUGCGGAGAGAACCCGUCCAGUGGUGGCAAACGCGCUACCAAGGUGAUGUCGCUGAGCACAGAGCUGGGAAGAGAUGUGGUCGGCUGUCCCAAGCUGUCGCAACACACGGACUGUCUUGCCCUUGGGGAGUUUACCUUCUAGUAGGGCACUGCAUUCUAGCGCUAUGUGUUAAUCCAGAAUAAAACUAUCUGCAAAAGGAAAUCCAAAAGGAAAACGAACGCUUCACAUGAGAGGAUUUCUCCGUUUCUCUCUCUGCCUUUUCUUCCCUCCCCCUCCCAUGCAUAUAUCCAUUUCCCUUGCUGGAGUCAUUCAAAGUUGCGGGUGGGUGGGGGAGGGGAGCGUUAAAUGCCCCUUGCCAGUCUGCCCCUCAACUUGACUCUGUGCUUUCAGAUCCCAACACUAAUCUGUCUUCCUCCCCCUGUUGCUGCCAUAUCCAAGUCAGGACUUUGAAACACCGAGCAAGACCAUGAGAAGAAGUCCAAAGCUCAGUAUAUCUGACAAGUGCUGUCAUAAGAUAAGCCACCUGACCUGUGGAGGGGAGGUUUAUGCUCAAAGGGCACGGCUCAUCUCCUCUGCCGCUUCGGCCUCUGUAUUUGGAUAAUUCUCAGCCUGGAAGCUGACAAGUGUCUGUGCCUUGUGCCAAAGGCCUAGAAACAUCACUCAGAAAGUCAGAGGACCAGCACCUCUCAAUUCGGAAAUGCAAUUCCCAAUGCUCAAGUUAAAUGAAAGGGGAAAUUCUACUAACUUUGUCGGGGGGGGGGGGGGG